GACACAGGUGCUGCAUGGCUGUCGUCAGCUCGUGUCGUGAGAUGUUGGGUUAAGUCCCGCAACGAGCGCAACCCUUGCAUUAGUUGCUACGAAAGGGCACUCUAAUGGGACUGCCGGUGACAAACCGGAGGAAGGUGGGGAUGACGUCAAGUCCUCAUGGCCCUUAUAGGUGGGGCUACACACGUCAUACAAUGGCCGGUACAGAGGGUAGCCAACCCGCGAGGGGGAGCCAAUCCCACAAAGCCGGUCGUAGUCCGGAUCGCAGUCUGCAACUCGACUGCGUGAAGUCGGAAUCGCUAGUAAUCGCGGAUCAGCAUGUCGCGGUGAAUACGUUCCCGGGUCUU
rnacentral:rRNA from 1 species